GACUAAAUGCUCCAAUUAAAAGACACAGACUGGCAAAUUGGAUAAAGAGUCAAGACCCAUCAGUGUGCUGUAUUCAGGAAACCCAUCUCAUGUGCAGAGACACACAUAGGCUCAAAAUAAAAGGAUGGAGGAAGAUCUACCAAGCAAAUGGAAAACAAAAAAAGGCAGGGGUUGCAAUCCUAGUCUCUGAUAAAACAGACUUUAAACCAACAAAGAUCAAAAGAGACAAAGAAGGCCAUGACAUAAUGGUAAAGGGAUCAAUUUGAGCUAUGAUCACGCCACCACACUCCAGCCUGGGCAACAAAGCGAAACCCCAUCUCUUAAACAAAGGUAGUAGGGAGAGGGAGACAAAAUUCUGCACCCUGCACUGGCCACCAUCAAGACAGAAGCAACAAUGUUUGAAGUCGCCCUUUGAGUUUGAGAUAAAAUAUAUUUGGGAAUACUACCCCAACCUACUUACUGGGUAGCCCGUAAGACUGCCGAUUGUUAGUGAAACCCAAUGUAAGACAGUGCCCUCCAGCAGAUUCAGGAUGCGAUGCUGUAGCAAACAGAGAUGCUGUGUGGAGUCUCUUCCAAAUACUAUUAGGACAAUCACAUUGCAGACUCCUACAGCUUUGAAAUAACGACAUGCACACCUGUCAAAAAUUUUUCUCCUCCCCACAAAGACAGGGUCUUCUUCUGUCAUCCAGGCUGGAGUGUGGUGGGGCGAUCACAGCUCACUGCAGCCUCAACCUCCUCCUGGGCUCAAGCGAACCUCUCAUCCCAGCCUCCUGAGUAACUGGGACCAAAAGCACACAACACUACAGUUGGCUGAUUUUUAAUUUUUUUGUAGAGAUGAGGUCUCAUUAUGUUGCCCAGGCUGGUCUUGAACUCCUGGGCUCAAGCAAUCCUCCCACCUCGGCCUCCCUAAGUGCUGGGAUUACAGGUGUAAGCCACGAUACCCAGCCAAUUCUUUAUUUGGUCAUCUUAAAAGGACACAACAGAAAUGAUAUAAAAUAACUUUUAUUUACAUAAUUUAUAUAUAUAUAACUGCUUUCUUUAGAACAAGAAAAUUUAUAAAUGACAUGAUAUUGCUUUUUCUGUCAAAGACUUCUUCAAGCAAGAUAGUAUACAUGGUCACUUUUGUUUCAAAUAACAUGAUGGUAAACAGUGGAUAUUAAUAUUUUUGUCAUGCCUCAACCAUUUACCAACAAUUAGGCGUUCAAAUCCUCAUGUUGACCACUUGCUAAGACAUACGUGUUCAGGAGAAAAAGUCAAGAAAAGAUAAAAACUUUUACUCAUAUCUCCUUUAAAAUUUGUGAAAUAAAUUCUUUGCAACAUCUUCUUUACAUGACUCAGACCUAAC
rnacentral:lncRNA from 1 species